rnacentral:rRNA from 1 species
UACGGAGGGUGCAAGCGUUAUCCGGAUUCACUGGGUUAAAGGGUGCGUAGGUGGGCCGGUAAGUCCGUGGUGAAAUCUCUGAGCUUAACUCAGAAACUGCCGUGGAUACUAUCGGUCUUGAAUACCGUGGAGGUGAGCGGAAUAUGUCAUGUAGCGGUGAAAUGCUUAGAUAUGACAUAGAACACCAAUUGCGAAGGCAGCUCACUACACGCCUAUUGACACUGAGGCACGAAAGCGUGGGAUCAAACAGG